rnacentral:rRNA from 1 species
CCUACGGGUGGCAGCAGUGAGGAAUAUUGGUCAAUGGGAGGAAUCCUGAACCAGCCAUGCCGCGUGCAGGACGACGGCUCUACGAGUUGUAAACUGCUUUUGUACCGGGGUAAAACGCUCUACGAGUAGGGUUUUGAAAGUACGGUACGAAUAAGGAUCGGCUAACUACGUGCCAGCAGCCGGGGUAAUACGGAGGAUCCGAGCGUUUAUCGGAUUCAUUUGGGUUAAAGGGUGCGUAGGUUGGUAUAUAAGUUCGCGGGGAAAUACCGAGGGUCAAACUCGGGGCGGCCGCUGAUACUGGAGGACUAGAGAGCGGAUGCAGCAGGCGGAAUGUGUAGUGGAGCGGUGAAAUGCAUAGAUAUUACACAGAACACCGAUUGCGAAGGCAGCUUGCUAGGCCGGAUCUGACGCUGAUGCACGAAAGCGUGGGGAUCGAACAGGAUUAGAUACCCUUGUAGUC